UGGCGCGUAGCUCAGCGGUGAGAGCGGCGUCCUUAUAAGACGCAGGUCGUGGGUUCAACUCCCACCGCGCCGA
rnacentral:tRNA from 1 species